GACGAACGCUGGCGGCGUGCUUAACACAUGCAAGUCGAACGGAAAGUCCCUGCUUUUGUGGCUUGCUCGAGUUGCGAACGGAUGGGUAACUCGUGAGUAACCUGCCUUUGACUUUGGGAUAACUUCAGGAAACUAACGCUAAUACCGGCCAGGAACUCGUGCUUCAUGGUGGGGGGUGGUAAGUUUCGGCGGUAUGGGAUCGACUCGCGGUUUAUUUGCUUGGUGGUGGGGUAGUGGCUUACCAAGGCUUUGACGGGUAGCCGACCUGAGAGCGUGACCGGGCACAUUGGGACUGAGAUACGGACCAGAAUCCAACGGGAGGCAGCAGUGGGGAGUAUUACACAAUGGGGGGAAGCCUGAUGCAGCAAAGCCGCGUGCGGGAUGACGGCCUGCGAGUGGUAAACCGCUUUCGACUGUGACGAAGCGUGAGUGACGGUAAUGGGUAAAGAAGCAACGGCUAACUACGUG
rnacentral:rRNA from 1 species